GGUUAAGUGACUAAGCGUACACGGUGGAUGCCUUGGCAGUCAGAGGCGAUGAAAGACGUAGUAACUUGCGAUAAGCCCAGAUUAGGUAGUAACAACCAUUUGAGUCUGGGAUUUCUGAAUGGGGAAACCCACGUGCAUAAGCACGUAUCCUUACCUGAAUACAUAGGGUAAGGAGGCGAACCGGGGGAACUGAAACAUCUAAGUACCCCGAGGAAAAGAAAUCAACCGAGAUUCCGAAAGUAGCGGCGAGCGAAAUUGGACUAGCCCUUAAGCUUUACACGCGUUAGACGAACGGUCUGGAAAGUCCGACGAUACAGGGUGAUAGUCCCGUAGUUGACGACGUGUGUUCAGUGAAAUCGAGUAGGGCGGGACACGUGAUAUCCUGUCUGAAUAUGGGGGGACCAUCCUCCAAGGCUAAAUACUACUGACUGACCGAUAGUGAACCAGUACCGUGAGGGAAAGGCGAAAAGAACCCCUGUGAGGGGAGUGAAAUAGAACCUGAAACCGUGUACGUACAAGCAGUAGGAGCAGGCUUUGUCCUGUGACUGCGUACCUUUUGUAUAAUGGGUCAGCGACUUAUAUUCAGUGGCAAGGUUAACCAUCUAGGGGAGCCGUAGGGAAACCGAGUCUUAACUGGGCGUUCAGUCUCUGGAUAUAGACCCGAAACCAGGUGAUCUAGCCAUGGGCAGGUUGAAGGUUGAGUAACAUCAACUGGAGGACCGAACCGACUAAUGUUGAAAAAUUAGCGGAUGACUUGUGGCUAGGGGUGAAAGGCCAAUCAAACCUGGAGAUAGCUGGUUCUCCCCGAAAGCUAUUUAGGUAGCGCCUCGGACGAAUACUACUGGGGGUAGAGCACUGUUAAGGCUAGGGGGUCAUCCCGACUUACCAACCCUUUGCAAACUCCGAAUACCAGUAAGUACUAUCCGGGAGACACACGGCGGGUGCUAACGUCCGUCGUGGAGAGGGAAACAACCCAGACCGCCAGCUAAGGUCCCAAAUUACUACUAAGUGGGAAACGAUGUGGGAAGGCUCAGACAGCCAGGAUGUUGGCUUAGAAGCAGCCAUCAUUUAAAGAAAGCGUAAUAGCUCACUGGUCGAGUCGGCCUGCGCGGAAGAUGUAACGGGGCUAAGUAGUAAACCGAAGCUGCGGCAAUGUGCUUUUGCACAUUGGGUAGGGGAGCGUUCUGUAAGCGGUUGAAGGUGUGUGGUAACGCAUGCUGGACGUAUCAGAAGUGCGAAUGCUGACAUGAGUAACGAUAAAGGGGGUGAAAAACCUCCUCGCCGGAAGACCAAGGGUUCCUGUCCAACGUUAAUCGGGGCAGGGUAAGUCGACCCCUAAGGCGAGGCCGAAAGGCGUAGUCGAUGGGAAACGGGUUAAUAUUCCCGUACUUCUUACAAUUGCGAUGGGGGGACGGAGAAGGCUAGGUGGGCCUGGCGACGGUUGUCCAGGUUCAAGUGCGUAGGCUUAAGAGUUAGGUAAAUCCGGCUCUUUCUAAGGCUGAGACACGACGUCGAGCUACUACGGUAGUGAAGUCAUUGAUGCCAUGCUUCCAGGAAAAGCCUCUAAGCUUCAGAUUGUAAGGAAUCGUACCCCAAACCGACACAGGUGGUCGGGUAGAGAAUACCAAGGCGCUUGAGAGAACUCGGGUGAAGGAACUAGGCAAAAUGGUACCGUAACUUCGGGAGAAGGUACGCUCUCGACGGUGAAGUCCCUCGCGGAUGGAGCUAUUGAGAGUCGCAGAUACCAGGUGGCUGCAACUGUUUAUUAAAAACACAGCACUGUGCAAAAUCGUAAGAUGACGUAUACGGUGUGACGCCUGCCCGGUGCCGGAAGGUUAAUUGAUGGGGUUAGACUUCGGUCGAAGCUCUUGAUCGAAGCCCCGGUAAACGGCGGCCGUAACUAUAACGGUCCUAAGGUAGCGAAAUUCCUUGUCGGGUAAGUUCCGACCUGCACGAAUGGCGUAAUGAUGGCCACGCUGUCUCCACCCGAGACUCAGUGAAAUUGAAAUCGCUGUGAAGAUGCAGUGUACCCGCGGCUAGACGGAAAGACCCCGUGAACCUUUACUACAGCUUGGCACUGAACAUUGACCCUACAUGUGUAGGAUAGGUGGGAGGCUUUGAAGACGGUACGCCAGUAUCGUUGGAGCCGUCCUUGAAAUACCACCCUUGUAGUGUUGAUGUUCUAACGUUGACCCCUUAUCGGGGUUACGGACAGUGCCUGGUGGGUAGUUUGACUGGGGCGGUCUCCUCCCAAAGAGUAACGGAGGAGCACGAAGGUGGGCUAAUCACGGUUGGACAUCGUGAGGUUAGUGCAAUGGCAUAAGCCCGCUUGACUGCGAGAAUGACAAUUCGAGCAGGUGCGAAAGCAGGUCAUAGUGAUCCGGUGGUUCUGAAUGGAAGGGCCAUCGCUCAACGGAUAAAAGGUACUCCGGGGAUAACAGGCUGAUACCGCCCAAGAGUUCAUAUCGACGGCGGUGUUUGGCACCUCGAUGUCGGCUCAUCACAUCCUGGGGCUGAAGUCGGUCCCAAGGGUAUGGCUGUUCGCCAUUUAAAGUGGUACGCGAGCUGGGUUUAGAACGUCGUGAGACAGUUCGGUCCCUAUCUGCCGUGGGCGUUGGAAGAUUGAAGGGGGCUGCUCCUAGUACGAGAGGACCGGAGUGGACGAACCUCUGGUGUUCGGGUUGUGUCGCCAGACGCAUUGCCCGGUAGCUAAGUUCGGAAUCGAUAACCGCUGAAAGCAUCUAAGCGGGAAGCGAGCCCUGAGAUGAGUCUUCCCUGAUACUUUAAGUAUCCUAAAGGGUUGUCGGAGACUACGACGUUGAUAGGUCAGGUGUGUAAGUGCUGUGAGGCAUUGAGCUAACUGAUACUAAUUGCCCGUGAGGCUUAACCAU
rnacentral:rRNA from 1 species